UUCAGUUGCUCUUAAAAUCGUGGUCUAAAAACUCCUAAAAUGCGGAUUGAACUGCUGCAUGGUUUUGGAAGGACUGGGUUAUUGUGUCCCCACAGCACUCCAUACUCUGCUUCCCUGUUGCACAGUUGCCUGCUGCAUGACUACCUGGGGACUUUAAAUCACAGUUUCCCUGGAUGAUGACCUGAAGCUUCAUCAGAGCAAUAUCCUUCUACCCUGCAACAGCUGUCUGUAGAAGGCCAGGUCAAGAGGUCUGUGACCAGAAGGAAGGAACCAGCUCUUUUCUAAAGAGGAUGUCAUUUGAGUCUCCAAAAAGAAAUCUCUGCACUACAGCACUGUAGAAAGCCUGGUCAGCCCUGGCUAAAAACUCAGGCUAAACUUGGUUACGUGAGUCACCACUUCAGUGACUUCACACCGCAGGCACGACGGGAAGUAACAGCAGUGAUGCUGAUAGACACCAGAGCAUAAAAGAGGGGAGAAAUAAUGAGAAGCAAAAAUAAAGCACCAGUUUCUCCUCUACGAUGGCUAGAAGGUGUGUUGAUGGCCUGAAAAAGACUUAAAAGCAUAUCUGGCAAUGAUUUCUGGGGGUGGCUUGCUCACUGUGGGGGGUUGGACUUUAAAGCACAGGAUCUGCAGCUAGAAUGAUUUUGUGUUUGUGUUUGAGCAGCAGUUCCAGCUGUGUGGGAAGAUGAAGGCAUUCUCAGUGUGCUCCAGUUUCAGAGGGUGCACUGGGAAGCCCUGCUUUAUACAUAGGCUGCUUCUGCCAACGACAAAGGAGCAAGACUGCAGGAAUAAAUUAGUUCCCUCUUUUGAGGUACAAAUCAGAGCCCCUUUUUUUACUGAACACUUGUAUGGGCACUGUUAGUGAGAACCUUGUGUCUGUGAGGGCAGGGAAUGCCCUGCAUCAUCUGGAGAGCAGGUGAGUUGUAUCCCAUGGACAGGGAAGUAGGGUACCUUGUGGGACAGGUAUAGCUGUACCAAAAUGUAAGGGUGCCUGGUGCAACUGGACUUCAGAGUGGGGUAAGAAUAUGAUAAUCCUGUUCUUGUCCCAGCCCUCAGGCUUUGACAGUGGACUCCUGGCAGAGCUGGCAGUGUCUGCUUCCCGUGACCUUAAAUGGGCUCACCACUGAGGGAUGGUGUUAAAUGUAUUUGGGUUCCCGCCUACUGACUCAUUUUCUGAUCCUCUGGAGCCUAAAUGGAGCGACUGAUUUGAAUGAUGUGAGCAAGCACUUAGAGGAAUGAGUAUUGGGAUGUAGAGCAUGUGCAUCACCCCCCUGUGACAGCUGUGGUGUGCGCUGUGCUGGGGGGAAUGGAACAACAGCAAAGGUGUCAGAAGUGAGACAGAAGAUUUGGCCUUCCACAGGUUAAUUAGUAAUAUGCUCUCAACCACAAGCAGCGAGAAGGAUGCUUCAUGCCUUGUACACCAUGAGAUAACUCCGUGUUGGUGAUGACAAACACAGCUCUGACCUGCAAGGAUGAAGGACAAGAUUCCAAGCUAAAGCUGCUCCUAUUUCUUUGCAAGGAAUUUAGAUCAAUCCUUCUCAAAUUUAGGAACCGUUUUUAUCUGAUUAGUUCACCAUGUGUAAGUAUUGGGUAAGAUGUAGGAUUUUGUGCGCUUGAGAGUUAAACACCGAAGUUUGAAGGAAUGUGGGAUGUGCGUCCUCUGGGAUGUGCUCAUUGCAUUCCCUGUGUUCCCUGCCUUGACUGGAGGACCAGCCUAUUGGUAUUUCUCCCACCUCUCCGGGCUGUUGACUUCUGGCUACUAUUUUUGGCGACUGCAGAUUCCCUACGUACCACAGGAGGUCAGCACGGGAUAAGUUUUGACUUCCUCUGAAUGCAUGGAAAAAAUGUGUCUCGAUGUCGAGACUGUGCAGUUCCCACCUGCUUCAAUAAACGUGGAAUCAGCCCUAGGAUUCCCAGCUCUGAUGAUGCAGGUCAGACAGCUCUGAGUGCCUGCGUGGCAGAACAGGGCUGCGAAGGCAGCUGGCUCUCCCACCAGCAGCUGCAUGAACGCUGCUCGCUCCAGCAGUGCCCGAUCUGCUGGGAUGGCUGGGACAGCCCGGCUGCCGGACCGGGACUGGGACCGGGACCUCGGCUUGGGCACCAGGGCGGAGCCUCUGCUCCAACAGCUUCGUGCACGGAUUUCCUUUGGACAGGUGACCGAGUGCGUGCGUGUGUGGUGACGAGAUGCUGCUGGAAGGGAGGAAAAUGCGAGCACAAGAGGAGUGAUUAAACCACUCAUUAAGUUUAAUAGCCUUGCUGUUUAUAUUGGACUUGGCAUUGCAGCAGUAGGUUGGAACACAUUCGCCAAAGGAAAAUCUAAAUAUGACCUAACAAAGCUGGAAGGCAAGUCAAGAAUUUGGACAGAAAUGGUAUUAGUUUAUACUUUUUUUUUUUUUUCCCCAAGAAACUACUCCUUUUUUCAGGGAUGCCUCUCCAGCUUGCACGUUUCAAGCAGUAGUUUCAUCAGCUUUACUGUGGCGAAGGCAUAUCCCGGCCAAACGAUCCUUUGCUAUCAGGAUUGCUCCCUGCUGUGCACAGGGAUGCUGUGCUCCCCAGUGCCAGAGCAAGUGCAGCUUGCAGAAUGCAUCAGGAGGAGCAGCGUGAGCCUGGAAGUGGGAAACACAGUCAUCAGCUAAAGGCUGAGCUUCAAAUUCACAGGGGCAAAACUUAGAAUUCAACACCCCUGUCCUGUGUGUCUUAGCUCACAGUGUGUAAACUCCAGCCCUCUGAUGAAAGGGAAGGAAAUCAGCCCUGCUUGUAACCAAGUUGAUGCAAAGGUUAUCACUCACUGACUGCAGCUGGUCCUUGGUUGAGGCACAGGCAUUCAUGGCUGUGAAAGGACUGAAGUUCACAUAAUCAACUAACAAAAGUUAUACACAAGGGAUUUAUUACAUGAAUAAUUUGACAUACUCCAUGGUAGUCAGAUACAAGUGCAUUUAAUUAAUGUUUUGUGGACAUCAUAACAGUCUGAGUAUUUCAGCUGAACAGUCAGUAUUUGGCUGAAUUCAAGCCAGUGCAAUUCAUGACAUAACCAGAAACAGGGAGUUACAGGUCUACAAUGAGGUUAGACUAGAUAGCAACAGCAUAUUUAUUGUCACAUCAAAGCAUUACAAAGUAUGAAAGCCCAAUAUUUCAACUAUCUCUAAAAUGGUAUUUGUACAAAGCUGUUGUAGAUACUUAAAUGUACGGAUUCGUCGCAUCAGUAAUGGACUAUGACUUUAUUUUUGGAAGUUAUUUGAAUAUUCAAAACUAUUUGGGGCAACAAGAAGAAAUGUAAACAUCUGACAGUCCUUUGAAGGUCCCUUCUGAGAAAAUACAUUGUGUGCCACAGGAAAAGUGCAUUCUAACUGGUGUAUCUGCUAUGGCCAGUUUGACUCACAUUCACUUAGCACCAGGUAUUUAUCCAUUUCUGCAGUAAAAAGUUAGAAAAUCUUUGUAUUAACUCAGAAAAGAGAAAAAAAAGUCAAAAGUUUUUUUUUUCUUCUUCUUUCUUUAGAGGAACGACAAGUAAAUUAAAAAAACCCCACCCAACAUUUAAACAGUUACCUCUUAUGUACAAAGGAACCAGGAGCUAGCAAAGCGCAUAGCCCCUGAACAGUCCUUAUUAUUUUUUUCUUCAGGUUCAUGUGCCUGAAUAUAUGAGUUUAUUUACAGCUGGACAGGUAUCCACAGAAGUAAUAAUCAGAAUUUUUCUAUUUGGCUAAAAGUUGUAUAAAAAAAGACAAAACACUAUUCAAAUACUUUCCAAAUAUAUAUAUAUAUAUUAAAAGUAUUCAGUAUUUCCAUCAGUGCCAGAGUUGGAAGCUCUUCCUCGUUGUAAAAAGUUAACUUUGUGAUAGUAAGUGACAGCAAAGGACUGACAGAGUCAGUCAGAGCUUUGAUUUGAGGGACUGCAGCUGGAGCUACCCCAGGCCCACUGGGCAGUUGCAGAUUGCAGGGAAAUGAAUCCAUGUGUGUUUGUUGCAAUGCCAGGCCAUGUUCUGGUAAGGGUGACCUGCUGCUCCAGAGAGCCUCCCACUCACACUAGACAAUCCUUGGAACCCUCUGGGGCAGCUUCCCUUUGAAAAUAACCAUCCAAAACGCUCUGAAGUAGUGGAAAUAUUCCUUAUGCAAAUGAACAACUAGCAUGGGCAGGUAGCUCAGUAAAUGGAAAAAUGUAAUUGCCACACUAAUUCUUGUAAAUAAUAUAAAAUUAAAGACUUGGCCCCUCAGAUACAAAUACAUACCACCAAAAUAUUUUUAAUUAACAUAACCUAGAUGAGUGCAAAUCUCUGGAUACACAAGAAUAUGACUGCCUUCAUACUGGUAUCAAAUAUUUAAACAGUUUGCAUAUAAACAAAAUCUUUCUUUGUUGUUGAGUCCGUGCUUGCUUUAGUCUAAAGCAAGGAUUUUCUUAUUACUUCUACUUUUUUGGUCUUUCUUCCUGUAGGAUAAAGCCUAAGAAAUACACUUCAUUCAUUAAGUAGACUGGGCUGAUGUAUAUUAUUACAGCAAUAACCCAAAAUUUAAGUAAGAAAUGUUGCAUGCAGUAUCUUUUUCCUUUAUUUAAUUACACUGGCUACAAGAACAAGACAUCCAUUCUCCAUCUUUCCGGCUCCCUUCCAACAGAAGGUACCCUAAACCCAAGCUCUGAUCCUUUGUCCCUUGCACAUCCCAGCCCUGCAGCCCCUCAGUGAUUAGGAUGAAGGACUGAGCCCUUGGAGCACAGCUUUCCCUGGGACAGCAGGUCUCAGCAAUGAGACCUCAGCCCUGAGGAGCCAUCCCUGCCUCCCUCGCGCUGCAGGGCACUGCGGGGAAGAGCUGGUCAGAAGGAACCUGGGCUGCUGGAAUGGCUGGAAAGGCUGGGAGGGGGAGGAUGGGGUCUGCAGCCCAGGGGCAGUGUCCUCUCCUUGGCACAACUGGGCUGAGUGUGGCUGAAAACUCCUCCUGAGCCCAGGUAAGAGCAGCUGCUGGCCCCACUCCAGGAUGACUCCAGGGUCCAGGAUGCUGAGCCAGAGUGCAAGAGGUGCUGGGGCUGGAGCAGCUCUGGCAGAGGGAGCACAGAUGCCACACCUCUGUGUUUGGCCACGCUGGGCCUGGGAGCCCAAACUGGUCUCCCAGAGUAUGCCAGGUCCUUGACUUGGCCACAGGUCCCCAGGCACUCUGCUCCUUGGGCUGUGCAGCUCAGCAUUCCUCUGUCCUGCAUCAAAGGUUUUUGGAGAGCAGAAACAAGGAGACAAAUAUCUGCCUAAGGGGAAGGGAGCACGGUCAACUCCAGUUUUGGGGUUUCUAACAGAGGGGAAAGGUUGAAGUGAUUCAAGAUACAGUAUGCAGCUGUGUGAAAAUGCAUAGUUUGUAUGUAUACAUUCAUUUACAAAGAGCAAAGGAAGGUCCUUUGCUAUGUAGUUUAAUCACAUCUGCUUUUAACAAAAAUGUGAGCUGACAAAGCUACAGGAUGUCAGUUAAACACACAACCUGGGAGUUAAUGGUAGCUGAAUGGCAUUUCCCAAAUAGAGAAUUAACUUUUCUUUUUGCUUUUCGGAGAUAAUUUUAAGUAGUUUUUUAUUUGAAGUCUCUGGUUUCUCUAAUAAUGUAUUUUAGGAUUUCAAGAGAUUCUACUGUGGUCAUCUUGGCAAUAACAGGCCCUCCUGCUUUGAGGGUUAUUAAGAAGUAAAAGCCCCAUAAAGACAAACAAGCAAACCAACAGAAACCUGGGUUUAGCUACGGUGUGUGAAGUAGAUCAAAACAUGGUUCUUUUAAACUGCUGAAAUUCUAGUUCAGGAGUGAGUAGUGCUUUUUUGCUGUUUUGGUUUUUUUUUUUUUUUGGUCUUCUUUUUGCAAUAGCUGAGCUAGUACUGAGAAAAUCCUAUGAGUUUGCUCACUUUCCUUUUACUUAGCUGACUUUGGAACCUAGCUGCUUCCCAUGAGGAAUGUCUGUUGUCCUGAGCAUUCCUGAACAUACAACAGUAAUGUAACAGGCAGAAUGGGCUUAAAUCGAGAAAAUCUUGGUCUAAAUGAUCUACUUUAAUGUUUUUUUCCAUUUGCACUUUUUCUGAAGAAAAAUUGCUUUAUCACUUGUGACACUAAAACACAGUGGUCUGCUUUUAAAUAUAACUUUAACAAAGAUCAGUACUCUGCUAAUCAAUGUGUUCUAUAAAUACUUAAUGCAGCAAUGGAUCGACUUUUCUCAUGAUUCUUUAUUUUCAUGUUUCUUUCAUGUACUUGAUUUUUACUUAGCAUUUGACUUAGAUUCUUCCUUGCAAUUUUUAUUCAACUAUGUAUCUAUGGAAAUUGCACAAAAGCGUAUUUGAAACUAGAAAAAAGUAAGCAUCAGAUAACCAGAUUCAAAUGGAGGACAGUAAAAUUAUCUAAGCCUAUUUUGCAAUCUAAAAUCCAGGAACAUUGCCUGUUGCUUAGAGUGAACUGAUCAUUCACCGGAAAAUGGAAAAGUAGUAAAGUUUUUUUUUCAUAUGAACAAUGAAUAUUAGAAGUGCAAGAGGAUGAGAUUUGCUCAUUCUAAAAUGCAUUGACCAGAAACAAAUUCUUCAUUACCUGAACUACUUGACUUGAGUAACUUGAGAAAAAAACAAACCUUCUCAAUUUUUAUAAAAUCACUCUGUACAAAGCUGGUUUUUAGCGCAUUGGUAAAACUUAGGAGCUCAUGCUUAGCAAAUCAUGAAUUCAGUAGUCAUUCUUUAAAGUUUCAGGUGCAAGCAGAUACUUCCCAGUACCUUAACUCAAUUAUUUUCAUCAACUUUUAGGCAUCAAUAUGCGUAUUGCUAAUUUUGUUUAAGAAAAACAACUGAAAUGUUUGGAGUGUCCUAUCUUGUAUUGAGAAUGAUUCCCAAGAUAACUGAAGUCCAUUGUAAGUACUCUAGGUUCAGCAGGCAGAAUUGACUCCUAUGCAGACACAAAGAUUUUAACACUUUUUUUCAAAUGAAAUAACAGCAAAAUUCUCAGAGGAAUUUUGGAGGGCCCAAGUCUGGGUGGCUUUGAUCCAGCACUAAAUAAUUUUCAGUGGCAAUGGACUGCAGAGGCUUUUUGAUGAGUUAUGGCCAAGGUCCUCUGAAUUCUUGAGUUCUCCCCAGCUACUGGUACUACAGGGGACUGUGAGAAUUUGAUGAAGUUCUGUAUGGUGGCAUUUUGUUGUGUGUUUUUAAUGCAAGAAUGAGAAAAGCACCUGCUUCUUAUGAGAAACAGUUUUUUGCUAUGUCUAAGUCACUGUCAGUGGAAGCCCCUUAUCUAAAUGUGCUGUACCAGCCCAUAGGCUGCCCCCAGAGGGCAGAAUCAAACCAGACUGUGAAGGAUCUGCAAGUCUUCUCUUCUAAGCCUUCCUUCAAACAUGCAUGGAAAUACAGCAACCACAGAACUGUUAUUUGUGCUGCCUGACAGAACACAACCUUGGACAGUGCCUGUCACUGCUUUUGUUCCUCAGCCAAACACGGACUGAGUUUUCAGACACCCUGUGCUUACUAUAAAGGUUUGAAGCUUAACUUGCCCCAUAAUUCCAGGACCUGAGCCAUGCUGUGCAGCCCUCAUCUCUGUGAUGGGAUGGACAGGCGACAUCAGUCCAUGCUUUUCUUCAGCACAGGUACCAUUGAUGUUAAGCACAAGGCUUGCACACCACUGGCAGUGUGCCUGCCUUGCUGCAGGGACUCCCGGUGGUCCCUGGAAGGACACAACAGCUUUGCAGCACACACCAAUACCUGGAUCAUGCCCAUCUUUUGCAGGAAGAACUGCAGGUUGAUUAAAAAUGGCAAGGUGAUACAUUUGCAGUCCAAGGUGAAACUAUCCCCAGGUUAUUGGAGCAGCAGGUAGCUUUUACUUUUACCUAAGGAUGUAGAAAUGAGCAGAAUGUCUGGAAGCCUCUGAAAAGGAACUGGGGUCUCUGGGAGCUGGCCAACAAAGAGCUUUUGCAAGGAUGGAUUUUACAUGACUUCCAAGCUGUGCAUGGUCCAUGCACAGACACGCUCAGCCCAGGAGAGGGGAGCCCAAAAAUGAUUCACCCUGGGAAGGAAAUGAGCAUCACUGUCUCUCCCCUCUUCACUGCUAUGUGCCUUGUUUCCCCCACUUUUCUACGUGUGAUUUGGAAUAAAGAGUUUGGACAAAGUAAAAAUCAAAAAUAUCUUUAUUUUUCAGCAUGCUCCAUAAGAUUUAAAAGGAUUCUGUGCUGGGGCAGAAUAGCUGUUCUUUGUUUAACUGGCAUCUACAAAUUAAGAUAAACUACACGCAACAGUGUGAGUGCUGUAAGCUUAACACCAAAACCAGAGGGAAGAUGAGUUCAUUAAUUCACCUAGGAACAAAAGGAUUGUCUCUAGGACACUAGCUCCCAAAACUAGUGGGGAAGUCAGGAAAAACCAAAUGGAAAUACUAUUGCCAAUCUGGCAGUGGGCCUGCAAGCUGGGAGAGCUGCUGUUUAAAGCAGGAAAAUCCCUACUCUCCUACAGCUUCUGCUGUGCCUUGUACCAGCUCGAGUUCAUCCCCUGCAGAGCCCAGGGGCUUCACACUGCACUGCUGCGUCAGCACGGGGAGAAACAGCUCCUGGGUGCUUCAGUUAAACUAAUUUCCAAAUUUCUAUGAGCUCCUGGCAUUUUAAACUAGCCUAUUAAACAAUUUCACACUUCUUUAAACUAGGUUAGGCUAUUUUUUUAAACCCUUAUCAAUGAAACUAAUGCAGGUUUUGCAUAUAAGGAAACCUACUGUCUAGAACUUUGUCUCCUCAUUCACAUUCCACUUUAAACCAUGAUAUCCAUUAAUGUAUUGAAUUUACCAAAUGAUAAAUAAUUUCAGAAGCUAUAAUAUUUCUCAAAGUAUCAUUAAAAACUGUCUCUGACCCAAACAGAUUAUUUACUGUAUUUUAUGGAACUUGCAUUUUUAUAAAAAGUCUUAGUUUUGUGGUUAAUUUCAAGUUAAAACUAGAUAAUUAAAAUCUUUACUGUUUUGUAUAUCAAAAAUAUAUGGCCCAGAAAGUGAAAAAAAUAUAUAAAGUGCAAUCCAGAGCAAAUUAAAGCUCACUAAUUUUACACUGAAGUGAAAGAGGAAAUGCUCUGGUUCUAAAAAUAGUCAUACAGAAAAAAUGUUUUUCAUGAAGAAGUUACUUCAUAGUCUCUGAAACAAGAUUUGAUAGGAAACAAAGGAAGAACAAUGUAUGCAGUAAGGUAUUCCUCUUUUGUAACUGAAGCAAGAAAAAAGGAUGUGUGGAUAUAAAUACUGCAAUCUGCGAGCACAAUGUUUUAGAAAUCCUCUACUCAAUAACUAGGCAAUUGGGUUUUUCUCCUACGGCUGCUUACCCUGUGCUAAAUUCACCCCCUUCUAUGAUGGAAAUACUUUUCUUACAUGAGACAAUAUGGAUAGCAAGUGACAAGAAAACAUGCUUGCUUUUUAAGAGUUAAAAAAACCCACAGUGCAAUUGAUGCUGAUGUCCUCUUUCUUCAGUUACGCGAUGACCCUUUACCUCUUGCCCAGCACUCCCAUCACUAUUAAAUGGAAACUGUAAUAAAAAGAGGGUGAAAAACUGCACUAGCAAAGCAGCUGAGGAUCUUUCCUAGUUGUUCCCACAUCUGGGUGAGAAGGAUAGCCUGGCUCUCUGUAGCAGAGGUCAUGACUUCCCAACCCCUUUAUAAACCUUGCAGGGCCUGAAAUUACCGUGAAUAAUUCCAGACUGGUUCCAGGGAGGAACAAGGUCCAGUAAGGUUGCUUUUCACAUCCCUUACUUCUCCAAUAUCUGCUUAGCAAAAUCAUGGCACAGUUAAGAUGCAGUCCUAAGACUCAUUGCGUGUACAAUUAUUGAUCUAAUUCCUCUCUUUUCCCCUAUAUAUUUAGUUUCAUAUCAAAAUCAAUGCCACCAGCCAUAGGUGGAGCUCUCCUGAGUUUAAUGCUGUAGGGGUACCUGCAAGUUCAGGUCCUUAAUGAGACUCCAGAGAAGACAGAGGAGGAUAAAGGCAGUAUUACCAUGCCUGUUCCAUGAAAGAUCAGGGGCACAGACCAAGCAGGCCAUCUAGCAUUUUACACAGACCUACACUUACAGGACUCGCUCAAGCCAGUGUAACUCAGGAAACUUCUCUCUAGAAAUGUCUCUGCUGAGGACAGGAAGAGCUUUUUCAACAGCAGCACAAGCUUGUGUCACCUUAACCUGCUGUGGAACUACAGUCUGACACAGGAUGCAGAGAUCUAAAUGUAAAACAAUAUUCCCAAACUUCUUCUAAUGUCUGGCUCCUUGCAAACACAGCAGUGGAUGGUGCUGUGUUAGAAAUGCCAGAGGCAAGUGAUGGGGCAAUGUUCCCUUUAUAAAGGCCUACUAGUAAAACACUAACUUAGGAAGUCCAAGAGUUGGGAAAGAGUCUCUUUUACCUGGGGGUCCAACUUGGUUUAGGGCUUAGUGCUGGGCUCCAGCAAAUCUUUAGGAAAAACUUGGUUAAGGCUCCAGGGCUCUGGGAGAGCCCCCACGAGAGCUGCAGCGUGGCUCUAUAAGGAGGGAAACAACCGUGCCUCAUUUGAAGUCUGACAAUGCUGUGACCCAUUCAGUGACUUUCUGUAACAUAAAAGCUAUCCCACAGUUUAUUUUAAUCACUGAAAAAGAGAUUAUUUCUCUUCAAAAGAGUGUUCUAUAUAUGAACAGGUCAUGAAUGCAGGUGCAUAAUCAACCUUCCUCAAGCUGGACACAGCAAAGGCAGCACUUGAACCAACAGCACAUGGACUAUGGUGGUGGCUCCUUUCCCAACAGGCUGGCUAUUCUGGAUCCCACACUGAGAAUGCCUCUUCUCCCUGGGGCUGGUAUCAGCAGGACAGAUUACAGCCUGAAUGCCACCAGCCUAACAGCUCUUAAAUCUGUCGCUAGUAACACAUCCAGAGUAUCUAGUAAUACUUUGGUAUUACUAGAAACUCUUCCAAGAGCCCUGCACAUGUGCAGAGGUAUCCUCUGUAUCCAUCCCUCUCACAGAGCUGAAUGCACAAUUCUCAAGCCCUGAGAAAGGGAGAUUCACAAUUUCACACUCUCAAUUCCAGUGGAAAGUACACAGAGGAAAACCCAUGUGCCUUUGUUCUACAACCAUUACCUGUGUGAGCAGCCCUUGUCAAUGAAGUUGUUAAUGGGAAUAACUGAGCUUUCCUGAGAAACCUGUACUGCUUCGAGGGCUCAGCUCGUUACAACAUGAUCUGCAUUCUGCUCUUAAUUGUGAAAUAAGACUUUUUAUCAGAUUUGUAAUUCACAAAAACAAACAAACUAAAACACCAAAAAUCAACCACAGAACAUCUGCAAUUGGCUGCUUAAGACUAGUUUCCUCCUAUUGGGAUCCAGUUCUGAGGAGUUUUUUUCAGGUUUGCCCAACUGGCUCAACCCCCUUUUGACUAAUGUCUCUGCAUUUGUACUUUUGCCCUUUGUUAGAAACAGGGAAAGAACCAAAGAGUCUCUAUUCAACAGACCUGACUAUUUCUGUUUUUCAGUUAAAUCUCGACUUGGAGCACAAGACAAAAACAGUAAGUGAGAUGGGAAGAUGAUCUGUAUUUCAUUAUUUAUCAGCAAAAAAAAUCCCCCAAACAGUAGUGAGAUAGAUACGCCAUACUUGGCAGCCUAUAUUCCAUCAACCCUGCAGUGCAGAUGGAGAGAAGAAACCUGUGAGUGGAGCUUUUAGUUUGAUGGUUCAGAUCUUUCUCAUGACUGAGCAAUGAAUCCUCAAAACAAUCUUUUCCUGUAAUCUUCUGCUUAUAUGAACUCUCUACUUAAACUGGAGCAGACCAUGUUGCAUGGUCUCAUUCAGACUGUACAUUGUCAUGAAAAACUCAAUUUUAGAAGUUUUUUUUU